rnacentral:rRNA from 1 species
UACGUAGGGGGCAAGCGUUGUCCGGAAUCAUUGGGCGUAAAGAGCUCGUAGGCGGUUUGUCGCGUCUGCUGUGAAAACGCGAGGCUCAACCUCGCGCCUGCAGUGGGUACGGGCAGACUAGAGUGCGGUAGGGGAGAUUGGAAUUCCUGGUGUAGCGGUGGAAUGCGCAGAUAUCAGGAGGAACACCGAUGGCGAAGGCAGAUCUCUGGGCCGUAACUGACGCUGAGGAGCGAAAGCAUGGGGAGCGAACAGG